rnacentral:snRNA from 2 species
CUAGCGUCCCACCUAGCCCCAAGAGGUUAAUAUCUGAUACGUCCCCCAUCGGGGGACUACAUAUUAAAUGGAUUUUUCGAACAGGGAGUCGGAAAUGGGGCUUGCUCCGUCCGCUCCACGCAUCGACCCGGUAUUGCAGUACCUCCGGGAACGGUGCAACACUU